rnacentral:rRNA from 1 species
GUGGGGAAUAUUGGGCAAUGGGGGAAACCCUGACCCAGCAACGCCGCGUGAAGGAAGAAGCUUUCGGGUUGUAAACUUCUUUUAUGAGGGAAGAUAAUGGCGGUACCUCAUGAAUAAGCCACGGCUAACUACGUGCCAGCAGCCGCGGUAAUACGUAGGUGGCAAGCGUUGUCCGGAUUUACUGGGUGUAAAGGGCGUGUAGGCGGGACUGCAAGUCAGAUGUGAAAUUUCGGGGCUCAACCCCGAAACUGCAUUUGAAACUGUGGUUCUUGAGUAUCGGAGAGGCAGGCGGAAUUCCUAGUGUAGCGGUGAAAUGCGUAGAUAUUAGGAGGAACACCAGUGGCGAAGGCGGCCUGCUGGACGACAACUGACGCUGAGGCGCGAAAGCGUGGGGAACAAACAGGAUUAGAUACCCUGGUAGUCC